GGGACUACGGUCGCAAGACUAAAACUCAAAGGAAUUGACGGGGACCCGCACAAGCGGUGGAGCAUGUGGUUUAAUUCGAUGCAACGCGAAAAACCUUACCACUUCUUGACAUGGAGAUUAGAUCCUUCUUAACGGAAGGGCGCAGUUCGGCUGGAUCUCGCACAGGUGCUGCAUGGCUGUCGUCAGCUCGUGUCGUGAGAUGUUGGGUUAAGUCCCGCAACGAGCGUAACCCUCAUCCUUAGUUGCCAGCGGGUUAUGCCGGGCACUUUAAGGAAACUGCCAGUGGUAAACUGGAGGAAGGUGGGGAUGAUGUCAAGUCAGCACGGCCCUUAUGGGGUGGGCUACACACGUGCUACAAUGGUGACUACAAUAGGUUGCAAUGUCGCAAGGCUGAGCUAAUCCGUAAAAGUCAUCUCAGUUCGGAUUGUCCUCUGUAACUCGAGGGCAUGAAGUCGGAAUCGCUAGUAAUCGUGGAUCAGCAUGCCACGGUGAAUACGUUCUCGGGUCUUGUACACACUGCCCGUCACGCCAUGGGAAUUGGCUUAACUCGAAGCUGGUGCGCUAACCGAAAGGAAGCAGCCAUA
rnacentral:rRNA from 1 species